rnacentral:rRNA from 1 species
AGUGAACGCUGGCGGUAGGCCUAACACAUGCAAGUCGAACGGCAGCACAGGAGAGCUUGCUCUCUGGGUGGCGAGUGGCGGACGGGUGAGGAAUACAUCGGAAUCUACUCUGUCGUGGGGGAUAACGUAGGGAAACUUACGCUAAUACCGCAUACGACCUACGGGUGAAAGCAGGGGACCUUCGGGCCUUACGCGAUUGAAUGAGCCGAUGUCGGAUUAGCUAGUUGGCGGGGUAAAAGCCCACCAAGGCGACGAUCCGUAGCUGGUCUGAGAGGAUGAUCAGCCACACUGGAACUGAGACACGGUCCAGACUCCUACGGGAGGCAGCAGUGGGGAAUAUUGGACAAUGGGCGCAAGCCUGAUCCAGCCAUACCGCGUGGGUGAAGAAGGCCUUCGGGUUGUAAAGCCCUUUUGUUGGGAAAGAAAUCCAGCUGGCUAAUACCCGGUUGGGAUGACGGUACCCAAAGAAUAAGCACCGGCUAACUUCGUGCCAGCCGCCGCGGUAA